ACCAACUGGAGCCAUGGAGGAGGCAGGCAGAACGUGGCAGAGGAGAAUAAAGAAGACAGGAGUUCUGACUGCGAUUCUGAUUACAUCAGAUUCCUUGAAAAUGAAAUGGAUUUGACAGAAGAAAUCAAUAAGCUAUCUCAAGCUUCACCUCGACUCUGGCCUCUUUCAUGGGAAGUGCGACUGGAUCCAGAAUGAUGAUAGAACAUUGGUGGGAUACUCCCAGAAUGCAGGCUUACUUGUGGUUCCUACAGUCUUCAAAUGUACAAUGGGAGGCAGAGUCUUCAGCUGUCAGGCUCCUCUCCUGCGGAACCAUCCACCAGUUUGGGCCUGGGAGGCAAACACCCUCUCCACAUUUAAAAGUAGGUUUAAAACUUUCCUGUUUGAUAAAGAUUAUAGUUAGUACUGGGUGAUUGCCUAGCUAUGCUGCUAUAGGCCUAGACCGCUGGGGGACUUUCCCAUGAUGCACUGAGCUCCUCUCUUCUAAUCUCACUCUCCAUCUGUUCACAUUCAUAUUUCAUUAAUGCUUGUUACUAACUUCUCCUGUCGUUCUCUUCAGGUUCAUGGCCUCCACAGCUGUAAAGCUUGGAUCUGUGUCUGUGGGCCACCCACAGCCCCCAUUGUUAGUCCUAUAAUUAGUCUUAUUAUUGUUAUUAUUAGCCUUAUUAUUAUUAUGUGGAACCUGCAUCGUGACAUGUUCUCUUUCCUCAUCCUCAUGUGCAAUCUUCCCCCAGGCUGUUAUGCAGUUGAACACUUAAGAAAUAACAUAAACUUGAGAUGUUGCCUAUGAAGCAACUGAAGAUGCGUUAGAGGCCAUGUAUGCUGCAUCCGGCCAUGAUUUUAACGCACUUUUUAAUCUCUUAAAUCAGGAUAUUUUAACUCAAACAUUUCAUUUUUACCUUUAAACUUUUUACUUGAAUGUUUGUUUUUUGUGGUAUUUACUUGUUCGUUGAUAUCAUGUUAGUUUCUUAGCACCAUUGUCCCAUGAGAAACUCUUGUCAUUUGGCUAUGUGUGUG